GUCGACGUGGUGUAGUGGUUAUCACGUCUGCUUUACACGCAGUAGGUCGCUGGUUCGAACCCGGCCGUUGACA
rnacentral:tRNA from 1 species